rnacentral:rRNA from 1 species
CAGUAGCCGCGGUAAGACAGAGGAUGCAAGCGUUAUCCGGAAUGAUUGGGCGUAAAGCGUCUGUAGGUGGCUUUUCAAGUCCGCCGUCAAAUCCCAGGGCUCAACCCUGGACAGGCGGUGGAAACUACCAAGCUGGAGUACGGUAGGGGCAGAGGGAAUUUCCAGUGGAGCGGUGAAAUGCGUUGAGAUCGAAAAGAACACCAACAGCGAAAGCACUCUGCUGGGACGACACUGACACUAAGAGACGAAAGCUAGGGGAGCAAAUGGGAUUAGAUACCCGUGUAGUCCCUGUCUCUUAUAA